rnacentral:rRNA from 1 species
UACGGAGGGUGCGAGCGUUGUCCGGAAUCACUGGGCGUAAAGGGCGCGUAGGCGGCUCGGUAAGUAGGGGGUGAAAUCCUGCGGCUUAACCGCAGGGCUGCCUUCUAAACUGUCGAGCUCGAGCACGGUAGAGGCAGAUGGAAUUCCCGGUGUAGCGGUGGAAUGCGUAGAGAUCGGGAAGAACAUCAGUGGCGAAGGCGGUCUGCUGGGCCGUUGCUGACGCUGAGGCGCGACAGCGUGGGGAGCAAACGAGG